ensembl:lncRNA
CCGUGUCCAGACCCCACACCUGCAAACCAACUGGAACUGUUGCCACGUUGCCAUGAUUACGGGGGCGGGGCCUGCCUCUGCAAAGAGGAGCUGGACCUGAGGUGAGGUUGUGUUUAAUAUAAUAAUAAAAUGACUCUUUAUUUGCUCUGGACUUCAUACAAAAGUUGGGUUUAUUACCUGCUACUUCCCUGAUUAGCUCGAACUUUUGACCUUAAGUUACAUUUUUGUAAAUAAUGAAAAAGCACGACCGACCCUGGUUAAGCGGUUGAAGAUGAGUGAGUGAGUUAUAAUGAAAAAGAUAUUGUGUAUUUAUGCGAAAAAAAUCAGUCAGCCAAUGCACAGCGAUGUUGCUCAUAAGGUUGAAAAUACAGUCACUACCAGGAUAGAGACCAUCUUAAACAUUCCCUCACCGAAAUGGAACUUCCAUUUCCUGGUUUCCUGGAGACAUGACUAUCUGUGUGCUAAAACACUGGAUCACCUACUAUUACAGCGGGUAUCAAACCCAGACUUAUUUCUCCAAGAACACUGAACACAGCGUCCGAGCUCUUGGUCUCUAGAAGGUGUGUUAGGACAUCUGAGGGCUCUGUGUUCCCUCCUCAUUUGACCCUGUGUUCCCCUCCAGCUCCCCUCCUAAGAGGAUGUUUGCCCUCUACCACCCCACCUACAACGGAAACACUCCUCUCUCCAGGACGGUGCAUCACUACAACAGCACUGAGGAUACAUGCAGGGUGACCCCCCCCUGCCUUCCGUGCGCCCUCCAGUCCAACAACAACAAUCACCAACACCAUCACCACAACCACAACAUGAACGGCAGCUACCAGCACCACAACAGCCACCAUGCCAACCCCCACCCCAACCCCAACCCCCACCCCCACCCCCACCCCCACCCCCACCCUCACCAGCACCCCCACCCCCACCCACCGACCCACAAGCUGCUGGAGCCCUGCCCGUCCCUGCUGCUGAGGGGGCUGGCGUCUCACCAGGUGGGCAUCGGUGGUGGGGGGGUGGGGGCGGGUGGUGGAGGAGGAGGCGGAGGGGGAGGAGGGGGAGGGGGAGGCAGCGGGGGAGGUGGGGGAGGGGGAGGCGGCGGGGGGGAGGCGGUCCGGAUCCUGGCGAGGCGUGUCACGCCGGACGGAAAGGUGCAGUACCUGGUGGAGUGGGGGAACGUCAGUGUUUACUGAGGGAGGUGGGAGGAGGAAUGGGGAGGCGGUAGAGGGGGAGUGGGGGGACGGAGGGUGAGAGAGAGGGUGAGGGACAGACGGUGGGGAAGAAAGAGAUAAUAAUGGAUGGGUGGAGAGAAAACAGGGUGGAGACUGGGGGGGGUAUGGAUAAAGAGAGAGAAACGUGAAAUGGAGGAAGAGGAGAGAGAGAAUGAAGAAAACAAGAGGAGAUGGGGAGAAGGAGGGAUGGAAGAAAAGAAAGAGAGGAGGGGAGGGCGACCCAAUGACAUAUUUGGCAGCGGGGGGAACUUAGCCUGGAGAGUUAGCGGUGUUUUGGCGCUGCCAUCUGGUUGGCGCGUGGGGCGAUCAUGAUGGGGGUUCUACAGCCAGUUUGGCCAGGAGCAAGGAGCUGUUGGCCAACAGAGGCUGUUCCUCCCCUUCCCCUCCAGAGGUCGCUAGGCAACACUCAUUUUGGAUGCCUUUCUGGCUUUUGAGCUGUUCAGGUCCAUCCCCCCUCCAUGCUCUUACCCCCCCCCCCCCCCCCCUCCCACCCACACACAGGACUUAUUAUCCCGGUACACUCAAACCCUGAAUCGAUACACAAGAGGUUUGUAUAUUUUCUCCCCUUUAGCACAGAACGGACCAGCACCUGCAACUCAACAACAAUAACCUGUUUAUGUUUGACAUCUGUCCGUCAUAGAACUAGGAGCAAACGUGUGGACUUUUGUUUUAUAAGUAGAAUUAUAUAUUCCAAAUUUAAGAAUAUGUUGUAUGACAUGAUGACUUUAUUUUAUUUAUAAUUUUUUUAUGUGGUUGCUUUGCUUAGUGCCUACACAGUGACUGCUUGUAUCGUUCGGUGACCUUAGGUUAUUCGCGUGUCACGGGGCUGACGGGUUACGCUACCAUAGCGACCAAACAGGUCACUGUUAGGUCGGGUGGGGUAAAAAACGGGUGUUGACAGAGGCCCUUGUUAAUGUUUUCCUUUGACAGGGUUCUAUCAAGUACGAUUUUUGUAUACUCAAAAGCAAACAACAUGUAUACUCUUGAUUGAAAUAAUUCAAUUAUUUUUUUCUCAAGAAUAGGUCGGUUUUUUUUGUCUAGUGCCACAAGAUUAAAAAGAGAACCUCAAAAGUGAAAGAGAUUCUGAUAUAGUUUUAUUUUUGCUUUGUAAGGUGAGGGUACACCUGUUCCUCUCAAGGGACCAUGCAGACAACAUAUUUACUGUAAAUGCAAACCGGAUCCUCUCCUACUAGAACUGUUACAACAACUGUUUAAUUUCCUUGAGGCUAAUGUUACUUUGCUCUUUAACGGCUAACGAUCGGUGAUAUAAAUUUAGUAACUAUGGGUUUGAAUUGUAUGUGUUGUUGAGGCUUGAUUUACUGUUAACAUUCCUCUGAUAUCUAUAGAUGUACUUCUGGUGACGAGUAGACUGUAGGUAUGGACUCGAUAUGAAAACAUCCUUCUGAAUUUUUUUUAUUUUACAAACACGGUAAGAUUAUGUUUUGAAAGUUGAUAUUUUUUACAGAUUAUUAGAGUCAUCAAUUCAAUUUGUAUGUUACGCUUAAUACAAUAAGCCCAAAGUAUUUUUUGUAUGGUUCAGGUUACAAAAAACGAUUAAACACUUUGUUUCAUGAUGAUUCUAAACUGUCAGGCGUUUUGUUUUCGAAACCCCCAAAGUCUUCUUGAUUUGAACACAAAACCAUGGAUACGCUAUGGAUGGGCAAGGAUGUCGCUAAAGCUUCCUAUAAGAUGCUGAUGAAUGUAUUGGUGUGUUUUCUAUGGUAUGUUAUUCCCGUCAAGUGCUUGUUGGGUCAUAUAGUUAGACGGAAGUUGAGGGAAAUAUCUUAACACAUGUAUACAAGGAAAACAACUGUUUGAAUUCAGGCCUAAAUCUUAUGGAGAGCUAGCCUUGUUCUUAUUUGUAGUCAAGUCCAAGUUCAGUUCUUUUGGACAACCAAUGUUUGUACAUGUAUACCCUGCGAUGAUACUAAUGUGUAACCUUGAAAAUAAAAGUUUCACCUCACCUUUUAACAAAAUGUCCGGACGUUUUUUGUUUUUC